rnacentral:misc_RNA from 1 species
AAGUCGUAACAAGGUUUCUGUAGGUGAACCUGCAGAAGGAUCAUUAGUGAAUAUUAGGACGUCCUUUACCGGAGUCCGAACCACACUUUUAAACACCACACCGUGAACUAGUGAACCAUUUUAAACAACAAAGAAAUUAGAAAGUACCACUGCGCAUGCAGUAACAAACCAUAUAAAACUUUCAACAACGGAUGUCUUGGCUCUC